rnacentral:rRNA from 1 species
AGUGAACGCUGGCGGUAGGCCUAACACAUGCAAGUCGAACGGCAGCACAGGAGAGCUUGCUCUCUGGGUGGCGAGUGGCGGACGGGUGAGGAAUACAUCGGAAUCUACUUUUUCGUGGGGGAUAACGUAGGGAAACUUACGCUAAUACCGCAUACGACCUACGGGUGAAAGCAGGGGACCUUCGGGCCUUGCGCGAUUGAAUGAGCCGAUGUCGGAUUAGCUAGUUGGCGGGGUAAAGGCCCACCAAGGCGACGAUCCGUAGCUGGUCUGAGAGGAAGAUCGGCCACACUGGAACUGAGACACGGUCCAGACUCCUACGGGAGGCAGCAGUGGGGAAUAUUGGACAAUGGGUGCAAGCCUGAUCCAGCCAUACCGCGUGGGUGAAGAAGGCCUUCGGGUUGUAAAGCCCUUUUGUUGGGAAAGAAAUCCAGCUGGCUAAUACCCGGUUGGGAUGACGGUACCCAAAGAAUAAGCACCGGCUAACUUCGUGCCAGCCGCCGCGGUAA